AACCGGAAGAUCACAGCAAUGAGGAGUGGGAUAUUCGAACUUCUGUUGGUAUGGAUUGCACUCUUGAUAACGAGAACUCAUAUCACCAGAUCCGGUUUCAGUGACCCUCUUUUCGUUUUUGGGAGUAAAGAACAAGUAGAUCCGGUAUCCUAUAUGUUUGUAGAACUCAUAUCACCCCUGAUGAAGAUCUAGGAACUACAAAUCACCGCAGAACUUGAUUUUGUUUUCCUGUUGGAGCACCAUUA